AUUGAACGCUGGCGGAAUGCUUUACACAUGCAAGUCGAACGGUAGAGGGGGCAACCCCUCGAGAGUGGCGAACGGGUGAGUAAUAUAUCGGAACGUGCCCAGUCGUGGGGGAUAACGUAGCGAAAGUUACGCUAAUACCGCAUACGGUCUAAGGAUGAAAGCGGGGGAUCGCAAGACCUCGCGCGAUUGGAGCGGCCGAUAUCAGAUUAGGUAGUUGGUGGGGUAAAGGCUCACCAAGCCAACGAUCUGUAGCUGGUCUGAGAGGACGACCAGCCACACUGGAACUGAGACACGGUCCAGACUCCUACGGGAGGCAGCAGUGGGGAAUUUUGGACAAUGGGCGAAAGCCUGAUCCAGCCAUUCCGCGUGCAGGAUGUAGGCCCUCGGGUUGUAAACUGCUUUUGUACAGAACGAAAAGGUUUCUACUAAUACUAGGAGCUCAUGACGGUACUGUAAGAAUAAGCACCGGCUAACUACGUGCCAGCCGCCGCCGUAA
rnacentral:rRNA from 1 species